CAAGUAUGGAGCAGAUUGAACACCCUCAGAAACAGUCAACUACAGCUCACGCUUCCACUUCGCAUCAGUCAGUCUGCAUUUGAUGGACCUGGAGGUUUCUCCCUGGGAUGCUUUGAUCCAUAGUGAUCUAUCAACUGCCUCUCGUUAGCCUGUUGUGCCUGCACACAUAGAAGAUGUUACAUUAGGUUGACACUGCAUCAAUCAUGAGGAACAUGUAUCCAUGUAAAGCUAACUAUACACUAGUAUAUACGGUUAUGCUUGCACACAGUUUUCAACUUGAUUCACAUCAACAUGAACCCAAGCAAAAUAUUCCACGAAUUUCUUCAUGAAAUCCAGACCAUGUGACCAUGUCUAAAAAAGAAAUCAUAUGUAACUCAGCAAGCAUAUGCCAGCACAGUUGCAUCCUAACAAUGAUCAUAUGGUACAUAAAAACAGAAGCCCAGAGCCGAGACCUAAGCAAAGAUGGCAAUUGGACGCCCUAAGUAGUUAAUAUUGAUAAUACUUCAUGGGCAGCCCCAGUGCAUGUAGCUCCCGCUUGCGCAGGGUCUGGGGAAGGGUCCGACCACUUUGGGUCUAUUGUACGCAGCCUUUCCCUACAUUUCUGCAAGAGGCUGUUUCCAGGACUUGAUAAUACUUCAUGCCACAAAAGAAUUUAUCUGGCAAUGAUUCAUAUCAAAGAGAUGAUAUAGAACUAACUGAGUGUGCACACACAUGAACUCAAGCAUAAUAUUGCAUGGCUUUCUUUAUAAAAUUUAGACUAUAUGACGCAUCUCGGAAAGCAUAUGCUAAUGCAGUCGCUUGGUGGCAAUCUAUGACCAAGUUCACUUACAUAUAUUCUCCCUCCGUCCCAAAAUAAGUGUCUGUACUUGUACAUCAUGAUAGUGCAGUGGCAACCGCAAAAACUCAGUAAGAAUUUCAUAAAGAAGAAAGCGGACAGAAAUAAAGAGGCACUCCUUUGGUGAAAGAAGGUGCCUUAACAUAUGCUCAUCUGGAUCUCUCCUCUUGACCAGAGGCUGGCCCAAGGAUGCUGCCGGUGCAUUCAUGGAGAGUCACACCUGACAGCAAUCGCAGCGACGGGGAGAACCCCGUUAGAGCAACCUGCGAAAAACAAAAUUGCAACCCUUGUACAACAACGAAUAGUAGAGCAAGCAAACGACAUCCCAUAAACAAAUAAAAGAAGCAAUUUUGAAAAUAAAAGUCUGCAACGAUCCACAUGGAGAAGCAAUUUGUCCGAUGAGAAUAACCAGGGGAUCCACCAGCCGGAGCAGCCUAAAUCGCAGGGGGGAAACAAAAAGGGGUUGGGGAAAGAUGAGCUACCACAUCGAAAAGUUCAUCCUUUGAUGGGGGUAACCGCGAGUGUGGACGAGACCGAGAUUUGCU
rnacentral:lncRNA from 1 species